UACGUAGGGGGCAAGCGUUGUCCGGAAUCAUUGGGCGUAAAGCGCACGUAGGCGGCCCGGUAAGUCCGUUGUGAAAGUCAGAGGCUCAACCUCUGGAGGCCAAUGGAUACUGCCGGGCUAGAGUCCGGAAGAGGCGAGUGGAAUUCCUGGUGUAGCGGUGGAAUGCGCAGAUAUCAGGAGGAACACCAAUUGCGAAGGCAGCUCGCUGGGACGUUACUGACGCUGAGACGCGAAAGCGUGGGGAGCAAACAGG
rnacentral:rRNA from 1 species